rnacentral:lncRNA from 1 species
GAGGUAGAACCAAGACGCCAACCUGGUGGGAUAAUAAUGGAAAAAGAGGAACCCUCGACAAGGACAAUCUUGCAGUCACAAAAGAUUUCGAUAACCCCUUCAAGAGCGAUUUAAACAUUGCAGUAUUCUAAAUCAUACCCGAAAUCUUUCAUGAUGUCUCUAAACUGCAAGUGGUCAGCUAUUUAAACAAAGGAACUGGAAUGGGUUACAAAUGCAUGACCUAAAGAAUCCAAGCGAAUCGAAUUCAGUGCAUGCUUAUGAAAUUCCAGUGCCCAAUUAGUCGACGAAAAGAACAUAAGUUGUCAAUGUCGGAACUGAUCCAAGUGAUCCUUGUUCUUCCUGCAGCAGAAAAUAACAUACGUGACGUUUAGGCAAGAAAAAAGAUUUUCAAAGACAACGAGAAAUGCGAAGCAGUCCAUUCAAAAUUUUAACCCUCAAUCGACGUCAACCAACUCGUUAGCAGAACUCUCUGCGCGUUUCCAGUACAGGACGCAUCUCAGCUGUGUACGGUGUAGAAGCUGAAAAUUUGAAUCUACAGCAAUUAAAUGUUACAUGGCACCUCCCAUUCAGAUGAGGGAACAAAAUUAAACUUUUCUUUCAAUGUAAAUAAAUGCUGACCAUGUUAGCCUCUUUUGGUAUUCAACUAGUUCGAAGAUCUAAGUAGAAUAUCGUCCGAUUCCACCGCUAAAUGUUCUUCGGUAACAGAAAAGUCGUUCUGGAUAGGAAUAAGAAAAACGUACAGCACCGAAACGUGGAUUGCUAAAAAUCAUGACGUCUAAUGGAGGCUUGAAAUACUUCCCCAAGAAGCAUGAUUGAUAUCAAUUCAUACGGAGAAAGAAAAGUACAAAUAGUUAGGUUCUAACAUACCUAAAGCAUUUGCUUCCAUAUUUACACAUUGGUUUAACACUGACUUGAUUGGACUUGUUCUUUACAGGUCCGCUUUUAACUUCAUCAAGAUCAUCGAGUUCUUCGAUCUCCCCAUCUUCGUCUUCGUCUUCGUCUGUCCACUCGUCCUCAUCGUCUUCAACCUGCAUUAUCUAAGUAAAAUGUGCAAUUAGACAUUGGAGAAUCUCAACCGUGAAAGUAAAUAUCAGGUCAUCUUCCUUUAACUCUCUUGGCAAAAAUCCUAUUCAGAAGACUAUCAUCAUUCAUUGAAACAAAGAAAUAGCUCAACUGUGUUUCUAAA